UGAAGAUCUUUGCCUGGAGAUUUGCCC
rnacentral:piRNA from 1 species